CUACGGGUUGCUCCAGUGGGGAAUAUUGGACAAUGGGCGCAAGCCUGAUCCAGCAAUGCCGCGUGAGUGAAGACGGCCUUAGGGUUGUAAAACUCUUUCGCUAGGGAAGAUAAUGACUGUACCUAGUAAAGAAGUCCCGGCUAACUCCGUGCCAGCAGCCGCGGUAAUACGGAGGGGACUAGCGUUGUUCGGAAUUACUGGGCGUAAAGAGUUCGUAGGCGGACUGACAAGUUAGAGGUGAAAUCCCAGGGCUCAACCCUGGAACUGCCUUUAAAACUAUCAGUCUAGAGACCGGAAGAGGUUAGGGGAAUACCUAGUGUAGAGGUGAAAUUCGUAGAUAUUAGGUGGAACACCAGUGGCGAAGGCGCCUAACUGGUCCGGUACUGACGCUGAGGAACGAAAGCGUGGGGAGCAAACAGGAUUAGAUACCCUUGUAGUC
rnacentral:rRNA from 1 species